CCUUCCUCUGUUGGGAUAUGUUCUUUUGCUUUGGACCAAGACUCGUUCCACAUUUUUCCUUGAUCCCGAAAAUGCUACUCAGCAGAUUACACAUCAAAGUUUCUUAUCCCUUAUAUCCUUUAUGUAGGAUUGCAAGUACAUCAUCGAAGUAACAAGGACUGAAAUCGGUUUAAUAUUCUCACAACGCAUCCGUUGAACCUGGAGAGUUGCCACAUUUUUCCUUAAUCCCGAAGAACGCGUAUAUUUUAGAACCUAUCCUCCUGGCUCCGUUGAUGGUUUCUUUUGUGUUGGACGCGAACUGGUUCCACAUUUUUCCUUAAUCCCGAAGAACUCAAAUCUUUCAAAACUAAUCCUUUGUUGGAUCAGAAGCGUAUAUUCCUUUUUUAAUCCUGAAGACUGUAAAUUGUUCGGUACCUAUCCUUCUGCGAUGGUGGCCAUGGAGUCCAGGGAGUCCUUUGUCCCGAAGAGUGCAAAUAUUAAAUUAUCCUGGGCCAGGAGCCCUUACCACAUUUUUAUCUUAAUCUCAAUCACUGCGAAUAUUUGGUUUCAAUGCUUCUCAAGAUCAGCAUCGACGAAAGCUUUUCUGAAGAUUGCAAGUACAUCAUCGAAGUAACAAGGACUGAAAUCGGUUUAAUAUUCUCACAACGCAUCCGUUGAACCUGGAGAGUUGCCACAUUUUUCCUUAAUCCCGAAGAACGCGUAUAUUUUAGAACCUAUCCUCCUGGCUCCGUUGAUGGUUUCUUUUGUGUUGGACGCGAACUGGUUCCACAUUUUUCCUUAAUCCCGAAGAACUCAAAUCUUUCAAAACUAAUCCUUUGUUGGAUCAGAAGCGUAUAUUCCUUUUUUAAUCCUGAAGAUUGUAAAUAGUUCGGUACCUAUCCUUCUACGGUGUUGGCCAUGGAGUCCAGGGAGUCCUUUGUCCCGAAGAAUGCAAAUAUUAAAUUAUCCUGGGCCAGGAGCCCUUACCACAUUUUUACCUUAAUCUCAAUCACUGCGAAUAUUUGGUUUCAACGCUUCUCAAGAUCAGCAUCGACGAAAGCUUUUCUGAACAGAUUACACAUCAAAGUUUCUUAUCCCUUAUAUCCUUUAUGUAGGAUUGCAAGUACAUCAUCGAAGUAACAAGGACUGAAAUCGGUUUAAUAUUCUCACAACGCAUCCGUUGAACCUGGAGAGUUGCCACAUUUUUCCUUAAUCCCGAAGAACGCGUAUAUUUUAGAACCUAUCCUCCUGGCUCCGUUGAUGGUUUCUUUUGUGUUGGACGCGAACUGGUUCCACAUUUUUCCUUAAUCCCGAAGAACUCAAAUCUUUCAAAACUAAUCCUUUGUUGGAUCAGAAGCGUAUAUUCCUUUUUUAAUCCUGAAGACUGUAAAUUGUUCGGUACCUAUCCUUCUGCGAUGGUGGCCAUGGAGUCCAGGGAGUCCUUUGUCCCGAAGAGUGCAAAUAUUAAAUUAUCCUGGGCCAGGAGCCCUUACCACAUUUUUACCUUAAUCUCAAUCACUGCGAAUAUUUGGUUUCAAUGCUUCUCAAGAUCAGCAUCGACGAAAGCUUUUCUGAAGAUUGCAAGUACAUCAUCGAAGUAACAAGGACUGAAAUCGGUUUAAUAUUCUCACAACGCAUCCGUUGGACCUGGAGAGUUGCCACAUUUUUCCUUAAUCCCGAAGAACGCGUAUAUUUUAGAACCUAUCCUCCUGGCUCUGUUGACGGUUUCUUUUGCGUUGGACGCGAACUGGUUCCACAUUUUUCCUUAAUCCCGAACAACGCGUAUAUUUUAGAACCUAUCCUCCUGGCUCUGUUGACGGUUUCUUUUGCGUUGGACGCGAACUGGUUCCACAUUUUUCCUUAAUCCCGAAGAACUCAAAUCUUUCAAAACUAAUCCUUUGUUGGAUCAGAAGCGUAUAUUCCUUUUUUAAUCCUGAAGACUGUAAAUUGUUCGGUACCUAUCCUUCUGCGAUGGUGGCCAUGGAGUCCAGGGAGUCCUUUGUCCCGAAGAAUGCAAAUAUUAAAUUAUCCUGGGCCAGGAGCCCUUACCACAUUUUUACCUUAAUCUCAAUCACUGCGAAUAUUUGGUUUCAACGCUUCUCAAGAUCAGCAUCGACGAAAGCUUUUCUGAAGAUUGCAAGUACAUCAUCGAAGUAACAAGGACUGAAAUCGGUUUAAUAUUCUCACAACGCAUCCGUUGGACCUGGAGAGUUGCCACAUUUUUCCUUAAUCCCGAAGAACGCGUAUAUUUUAGAACCUAUCCUCCUGGCUCUGUUGACGGUUUCUUUUGCGUUGGACGCGAACUGGUUCCACAUUUUUCCUAAAUCCCGAACAACGCGUAUAUUUUAGAACCUAUCCUCCUGGCUCUGUUGACGGUUUCUUUUGCGUUGGACGCGAACUGGUUCCACAUUUUUCCUUAAUCCCGAAGAACUCAAAUCUUUCAAAACUAAUCCUUUGUUGGAUCAGAAGCGUAUAUUCCUUUUUUAAUCCUGAAGACUGUAAAUUGUUCGGUACCUACUGGUUCCACAUUUUUCCUUAAUCCCGAAGAACUCAAAUCUUUCAAAACUAAUCCUUUGUUGGAUCAGAAGCGUAUAUUCCUUUUUUAAUCCUGAAGACUGUAAAUUGUUCGGUACCUAUCCUUCUGCGAUGGUGGCCAUGGAGUCCAGGGAGUCCUUUGUCCCGAAGAAUGCAAAUAUUAAAUUAUCCUGGGCCAGGAGCCCUUACCACAUUUUUACCUUAAUCUCAAUCACUGCGAAUAUUUGGUUUCAACGCUUCUCAAGAUCAGCAUCGACGAAAGCUUUUCUGAAGAUUGCAAGUACAUCAUCGAAGUAACAAGGACUGAAAUCGGUUUAAUAUUCUCACAACGCAUCCGUUGGACCUGGAGAGUUGCCACAUUUUUCCUAAAUCCCGAACAACGCGUAUAUUUUAGAACCUAUCCUCCUGGCUCUGUUGACGGUUUCUUUUGCGUUGGACGCGAACUGGUUCCACAUUUUUCCUUAAUCCCGAAGAACUCAAAUCUUUCAAAACUAAUCCUUUGUUGGAUCAGAAGCGUAUAUUCCUUUUUUAAUCCUGAAGACUGUAAAUUGUUCGGUACCUAUCCUUCUGCGAUGGUGGCCAUGGAGUCCAGGGAGUCCUUUGUCCCGAAGAGUGCAAAUAUUAAAUUAUCCUGGGCCAGGAGCCCUUACCACAUUUUUACCUUAAUCUCAAUCACUGCGAAUAUUUGGUUUCAACGCUUCUCAAGAUCAGCAUCGACGAAAGCUUUUCUGAAGAUUGCAAGUACAUCAUCGAAGUAACAAGGACUAAAAUUUUGGUCUUAGAUUUUCCUCCUGCAUGCGUUCUACCAGCAGAGAUACCACAUUUUCCCUAAUCCCGAAAAGCGCUAAUAUUUCAGAAUUGGAAUUCUGUUGUUGUUGUUGACAUAUCCUUCUGUCUGUCUAUUCUUUCUCUGUUGGGAUAUAUUCUUUUGGCAUGCUUCAUAUUAUUUUUGAACCGUUCUGAUUAAUAAACUAACAAUUUCAGUGA